UACAGAGGUCCCAAGCGUUGUUCGGAUUCAUUGGGCGUAAAGGGUGCGUAGGCGGCGCGGUAAGUCGGGUGUGAAAUCUCGGGGCUUAACUCCGAAACUGCAUUCGAUACUGCCGUGCUUGAGGACUGGAGAGGAGACUGGAAUUUACGGUGUAGCAGUGAAAUGCGUAGAUAUCGUAAGGAACGCCAGUGGCGAAAGCGAGUCUCUGGGCAGCAUCUGACGCUGAGGCACGAAGGCCAGGGGAGCAAACGGG
rnacentral:rRNA from 1 species